rnacentral:rRNA from 1 species
GACGAACGCUGGCGGCGUGCUUAACACAUGCAAGUCGAGCGGUAAGGCCCUUUCGGGGUACGACGAGCGGCGAACGGGUGAGUAACACGUGGGUGACCUGCCCUUAGCUCUGGGAUAAGCCUGGGAAACUGGGUCGUAAUACCGGAUAUGACUCCAUAACGCAUGUUGUGGGGUGGAAAGCCUUGUGCGGCUAGGGAUGGGCCCGCGGCCUAUCAGCUUGUUGGUGGGGUAGAUGGCCACCAAGGCGACGACGGUAGCCGGCCUGAGAGGGCGA